rnacentral:rRNA from 1 species
UGGGGAAUCUUGGACAAUGGGGGCAACCCUGAUCCAGCCAUGCCGCGUGAGUGAUGAAGGCCUUAGGGUCGUAAAGCUCUUUCGCCUGUGAAGAUAAUGACGGUAGCAGGUAAAGAAACCCCGGCUAACUCCGUGCCAGCAGCCGCGGUAAUACGGAGGGGGUUAGCGUUGUUCGGAAUUACUGGGCGUAAAGCGCACGUAGGCGGACCAGAAAGUUGGGGGUGAAAUCCCGGGGGCUCAACCCCGGAACUGCCUCCAAAACUAUUGGUCUAGAGUUCGAGAGAGGUGAGUGGAAUUCCGAGUGUAGAGGUGAAAUUCGUAGAUAUUUGGAGGAACACCAGUGGCGAAGGCGGCUCACUGGCUCGAUACUGACGCUGAGGUGCGAAAGUGUGGGGAGCAAACAGGAUUAGAUACCCUGGUAGUCCACACCGUAAACGAUGAAUGCCAGUCGUCGGGUAGCAUGCUAUUCGGUGACACACCUAACGGAUUAAGCAUUCCGCCUGGGGAGUACGGUCGCAGAUUAAAA